rnacentral:RNase_P_RNA from 1 species
GAAGUCGGUCGGAUGACUGCCGGUUCGCCCUUGGCGGACGGGAGGAAAGUCCGGACUCCGCAGGGCAGGGUGCUGGGUAACACCCAGGAAGGGUAACCUUACGGACAGUGCCACAGAAAAGAUACCGCCCACGCGGCAUCACUGGCUGUUGAGUUACGCGCGAGCGUAGCUGGCCGGCCCUGUGGGUAAGGGUGAAAAGGUGCGGU